AUGGGAUGGAGCUGGAUCAUCCUCUUCCUCAUGUCAGUGAUUACAGGUGCCCACUCCCAGGUCCAGCUGCAGCAGUCUGCUACUGAGAUGUUGAAGCCUGGGACCUCAGUGAAGUUGUCUUGUAAGGCUUCAUGCUACACCUUCACUGACCAUGUAAUGCACUGGAAGCAGAAGCCUGGACAGGGUCUGGAGUGGAUUGGAUGGAUUUAUCCUGGAGAUGGUGAUACAAAGUAUAAUCAGAAGUUCCAGGGCAAGGCCACGCUGACUGCAGACACAUCCUCCAGCACAGCCUACAUGGAGCUCAGCAGCUGA